CUCGGACAUCCCGGGCUUUACGUUCGUGCAACACAGAACAGUAGGUUCAAAGUAUGGGCUCUAGAGCCAACGGUCACAGCUGGAAUCCCUCUCUGCCAGCUGUGUGGCUCUGGCAGGCUUUUUGGCUCCUUUUUGCCUGUUUCCUUGCCCAAAAUGGGGCCGAUAGUCAUUAUCUCAUAAGGUCGUUAUGAAGGUUAAGUAGCAUAAAGCACUUACGUCAUACAGAUCAGCGCCUGUACAGGGCAAGCAAUCAACACAUGUGUGAGUUGUUGCUGUUACCAUUAUCGUCAUCUUUCUCAAGGUUACCACCUUCAUCAUUUCCCCUAACGGGCGCACACAGUAAUGCCAGCUAGGAUUCAGGAACCGGGUUUUCUGUUUUUCAGAGGCGGACGUGGAGGCUCAAAGGGGUGAUAGGCCUGUCCCAAGGUCACGUGGCCAACGAGGGAUGACCUGGGACUCCCCUCCAGGUGUGUCUGACUCCAAGGCCAGUGUGAUAUUUCCACGACACCAGGCUCGGAUGCGGAUCUACGCCAUUUCUCUUCUAAUUCACUCAGGCACUUGUCCUCCUACUUUCAGGGCUCACGGUUCUCAAAGUGGGGGUCCUGGACCAGCAGCCUCUGCGCCACCUGAGAACCCGCUACAGAUGCGAAUUCACAAGCCCCACCUCCACCUCUGAGCUAGUUGUCCAGCAAUCCGGACAAGCUUCCGGAUGAUUCUGAAGCACAUCCUACCAGUCUAGGGCAGAAUCCAGGCUUAGGUACCUGAUGAAACGUCAAAACAAAAAAUUUAACCCACGAGAACUACGACCAGAGACGACACGCGCAGGGCGUGCUGAAAAGGGCACGUCAAUGGGGACGGUGACGGACGGGCUCUGGAGCUUUUGGACAGACGCUUCUCGGGAAAUGAGAGUUGUUAGAAAUGAGGGUCACGCAGAUCUGUAUGAUGAACUGAAACGGAACAACAGCCCAGAUGCCUGUUCAACAAAGAAAAAAGAGCAAUCCACUGUGUUCCUAUUUGUGUGUGCGCAGGACAAUAAACUAGCCGGUUGUGUUCGUGCGCACCUUGUCUGCGUGGCGACCAGAGGACAAGGCAGACAACUGCGAGUGAAGGGAGUCUUUUCUUUCCUUUUUUUUUUUUCCGGAGGAGACUUGUUGAAGUACAGCUGACACGCAAUAUUAUAUUAAUUUCAGGCGUACAACAUAGCGAUUCAACAGUCCUGCACAUUACGCGACGCUCACCAGGGUAAGGGUAGUCACCAUCUGUCACCGUACGAAGGUGGCAAUGAUUACAAUAUUACUGACUAUGGGUCUUUGUACCUCUUAAUACCCUUCACCUAUUUCUGAUGGCCAGCCCUCUUUAUUCCGUCCUGUGGUUGGCAGUCUUUGGCAUCCAGGCUUCUCCAAAUCCCUGCCCAGGAGGAGCUUCCAAUCUAGCGGGUAAGACGGACAAGAGGCAAGGAGGAGACAGUUACAGGGAGGCGGGGUGAGCAGCUUAUGAGCCAGGGCAGAGUAGAAUCCUCAGAGCAAGGCCCUGGUGACCUAGGAGGAGAGGGGAUCGGAUGAUAGUUUGGCAGAAAGAGUGAAGCAUCACCUUGAAGGCAGAGGAGGUGGUCAGGAAGCGAAUCAGGCUGUUUCAUUAGCUGCAGGUGUUUUCAUGCUGGCUGUGUAUGCAUGGGGUAGGAGGGCUGGCAGGGGGACAGGGUGACCAACUGUCCUACUUUUCCAGGACUGACGGGGUCCCUGGGAUUAGAAACUUUCAGUGCUACAACUGGGACAGCUGGUCACCCUCAGGUAGGCGCGGCGGGUAUAUGGCCAGAGGCGAGGCAGGAGAGAGAGGCAGAGUGCAUGUGGGUUUGGGCAGAGAUCGUCUCAGGGAGCGGUGUCGACCAAUGACCUGGCUUGGCUAAAUCAGGUGGCCUGAUGCAGUCACAGCCUCUAUUCCCCCAGUGAUUCUACACUACGUAUCUUCAAAAGGAAGCAUCCGGAAUACCCGAGACUUGCCUAUACACCCUCAGGUUAGUUACACAUCCUACUGCCCAGGUUUACGUAAGACAGCAUCCGUAACCGUUAGAGUCGAUUCAUUUUUCAAGGGUAGAUGAGGGCUUGGUGUGCAAAUCUGUCAUAGCUGGCGCCUGGCACCAGUGGUCCGAGAGCCCCCUCUCCCAUUGUAAUGGCUGGUAUUCAGAGAGCCAGAGAUAAAAUCACCGUUGUGACCAAGACAGAAGAUACGGGCAUCAGCACAGGCACUAGAUGCAUCAGAGGACUGUGAGAUAGGAGACCUUUCCCCCAGGGCCUCUGGCUUCAACUGGGCGUAGCUGAGUGCAGGUGAUUAAAGCUAUUGCCUGUCCCAUAGCUUUUUGAUGACCUAAUGGAAAGAGUGGGUGACCUAAUUCCACAUCUCAGGGGCUCUUGCCUAGCCUCGGGUCUGCCCGAUGACCGGUCUCCAGGGACUGAGUCCAGGCCGGGAUCCUCUGUGCCCGACUCGGCGGAGUGCUUGGCCGCGGAGAUCUGGAGAAUUAUCUGCGGGGCCUCCCCAAACUAAUCACGAAGACGCCCCUGGGCAAGUAUGCCUUUGCCAUAAUUCUCUUUCAAAGGCAGGUUCCAGCCUCACGUGCCUGGUUGUAAAUUGGAGUCUGUGUCCGUUUCUGCAGCCUUUGGGACAAGCCUGGAUCUAGGGGCUGAGAUUUGUUUGGCCUACCGAGGACUUCAGGGCUGAAAAGCCCUUGGAGGUUAUUUGGUUACAUCUUAUUUUGCAGGUAGGUAAACUGAGCUCAGAGGCAGGAAGAUACCUGCCCAAGGUUACUGUUAUGUGUUGAAUUGUGUCCCCCUGAGAAAAAUUCAUUAUGUUGAGGGGACCCUGGGUGACUCAGUCGGUUAAGUGUCCAACUCUUGGUUUCGACUCAGGUCAGACUCUCACGGUUCGUGGGUUCGAGGCCCUCUGGCUCUGGGCUGACGGUGAGGAGCCUGCUUGGGAGUCUGUCUGUCUGUCUGUCUGUCUCUCUGUCCCUCCCACCACUCACUUUCUAUCUCUCUUUCUCCAAAUAAAUAAAUAAACAUUAAAAAAAAUUUUAUGUUG
rnacentral:lncRNA from 1 species